AGCGCGGGCGGCGCUCCGUGGGUGGGGCAACGGGAGCCAAUGCGCGUCGCGGCGCAGCGGGAGGGGGCGUGUCCCGCGGCCGGGCUGGGCCGUGCGGUGCCGCUGACCCGGGCACCGCGGCGGGCAGCGCUCCCCCGCCCGGCGCCGCGCCGAGGCCGCCUGAGGAGAGUCCCUGCCCAGCGGUGUUUGGACAAGAUCCGUGUUCCGAGCCGCCAGCUCGCACCCUGCCAUCGCCAACAGCCGCCUCAGCGCUGCCCGUGCAGCGUUUUCAACCACUGGCAAAGGAGCGUGUUCUUCGAAGGGAAACCCCCAGGAUCUUGGUUAAAACAAGAUUAUAAUGGAGGGUAAAUAAAGCAACAGGAGCUGCGCUUUGUUUGUAAUGCCGGCACCAACCUGUCGUCAGUUAUUGUUCAUUUACAGCGUGUUGAAGGAUGAGAUCUGGCUUUGUAUCAGGUGCUUGUUUCAAACAAGUGAGAUAAUGCAUGCUGGUUUCAUUCACGAUAAGCAAAAGUCGGUACAAUUCCCACCUUCUGAGGGCAGGGAAGGCAGAAGGCACAGAGCAGAGGCAGCAAGAAGAGAGCAGCAGAAGCAGAGCUGGAAUCCACAUCUCAUCCCUCCCUCUUCAGCACAUCUGCUCCUGGAGUGGAUUCAGCCUCUGGUCAGGAAAGUGCCACAAACGCAGGUUUCCACUCUAAAGCUCCACAGUUCCUGUUAACAGCUUUGUGUUCACUCUGCUUUGCAAGACUGAACCCAGGUUUUCUUGGUUUAAAGUGUUUUCCUCCACCCUUUGUAAAAGCCAGUUUUCGCUACAACGAAGGGUUAACAGCUC